CCUACGGGCGGCUGCAGUGAGGAAUAUUGGUCAAUGGGCUUACGCCUGAACCAGCCAAGUCGCGUGAGGGAAGACUGCCCUAUGGGUUGUAAACCUCUUUUGUCAGGGAGCAAUUUGCGCUACGUGUAGCGUUAUCGAGAGUACCUGAAGAAAAGGCAUCGGCUAACUCCGUGCCAGCAGCCGCGGAAAUACGGAGGAUGCGAGCGUUAUCCGGAUUUAUUGGGUUUAAGGGGUGGGUAGCCGGAAGUCAAAGUCAGCGGGAAAGUCGCGGGGCGAAACGUAGCUCCGCAGUUGAUACUGGCGUCCUUGAGUGGGCGAGAGGUAGGCGGAAUGCGUGGUGUAGCGGUGAAAUGCAUAGAUAUCACGCAGAACUCCGAUUGCGAAGGCAGCAUGCCGGCGUCCAACUGACGCUGAAGCACGAAAGUGUGGGUAUCGAACAGGAUUAGAUACCCGAGUAGUC
rnacentral:rRNA from 1 species